GCGGGCUACCUGUGCAGCAGAAAAAUAGCUCCAGCCUACCCGUUCUAGUACCCCCUCUGGUUCAUGAGUACGAGUCCACUCCGUGAACUUUUGUUCACGGAGUGGGCAUGCUGCACCAAAAGCAUCCCCGUGAAAUACCGGCGAUUAGGGUCAUAGGCAGUAAAGGACUUACGGGAUAGAUGUUGGACAAACUUGUGGGACUCCUCCUGGCCCUGACUGAAGGAAGUUAUCAGGAAGAAGGGUGACACAACUAAAUACUAUAGUGGGUGGUAAUGCAAAGUAGUAUUGAUAUGCUGUCAGCCACUGCCUUCUCCUGGGGGCUCAGAUUCUCCUCUAACAAGUGUGUCCACCUUCGCUUUGUGAGACAACAUGUGAUGAUAGACAGUCUUCAUCCUCUUUACACACUUGAUGGUACACCAAUCAACUGCUGUUCAACACACAAAGACCUUGGCGUGAUUGUAGACAACAAAUUGAAAUUUCACCAACAUAUCAGAAGUAUUGUUACAAAGGCUGGAGGCAUUGCUACCAACCUGCUGAAGUCCACUGUCUGUCGCUCAGUGGGCACUAGAGGCCACCAAUUCAAGAUCCUGAUGCAACACACUGAAAUGGAAGCUCGUAGGCAGUUCUUCUCAUGUUGGGUGAUUCGGUGUUGGAACUCCUUGACUGCUGAUGUGGUUAAUGCUCCCAGCCAUUCAACUUUUAAGUCUAAGCUACAGUUAUUUCCGAGUGCUGAACUCUCCUCCUUCUAAUACCUUUUUUAACUAUUUUUUUAUAACUUUUAAUUUUAUUGUUCAGUUCUAAUAUGAUAAGCUGAAGCUAUAUCAUUUUAAUUGGAAAACACACUUAAUCAGUUACUAUAUGUCAAUUGUGUUAGUAGUGCUGCCUGCUCACCUGACUGGAGUGUCUGACUGUUACUUUUGGGCCUUGCCUUCCCUGCCCAGUCUAGACUGGUUACCAGUUGGUAUGGCCCUACUAGGUGAGAAUACCAGGUGAGAAUUCAUGUCUGACAUGAUGCAGCCAUCUGCUGAUUAAUUGCAAAGAACCCUGCAGUUCUGAAGGAUCUUUUGAGGGCGUACAAGGAUGUGGUCAAUCUCCUUUGCUACCCCCCAGCAUUGCUAUAUCAAGUCCAGUAGUACAGCUCUGGUCUCUGGCACCAAGAACCUGCAAUUCUCAACCUUCUGUGAGAUCACGAGUCCAGCAUGUGAUCAGACUAAGUGAACCACACACACACACACACACACACACACACACACACACACAUGUACACAUGCACACACACAACUAGGUAAAUACACACACACACACACCAUCUGUUCUCUGUGAGUCACUAAACACUUACUCUAGCCAUCUGAGGCCAUGGAGACCAAGACAUAACUCAAGGCCAUCUGUUAUUGCCCGUACAGUAAUCCCUUGCUUUAACAAAUGAAUUAAGGGGAAGAAAGUGAUGUAAUAUCCAAAAAUCCAUUACAUCCAUGGGAUCAGACUUUUUGCAUAACAAACUUUGUUAUAUGAGCUGAAAAUUCAUUAUUUCCAACCACUUCCUUGUACAACAUAGUUUGUUUGUCACAUGUAAUGAAAGGUGAUACACGGAAGGAGAAGAGUGGAGGUGUUUAAAGUCAGUCAGACAAGGCUUGAGUAGAAUGACUAGACAUGCAUUGUCAGUAAACCACCCACUCAGCUUUGUUUCCAUCGGCGCUGAUUGAUGUUCGUGUACAUAUUCAGCUGGCCCACCACCGAACUGAACCCCGCACUUACCAACUUGUUCAGUACAGUAAAUCUCCACAUCUACCAGACUGACCCCAAAAGUUUGUAAAAAGUAAAAAAAUCAUUAUACUGAGGUUUGUAAAAGUGAGGGUUUACUGUAUUAGUAGCAUUGAAGUUGUCCAAGACAAUGAAUGUAUCCUGAGUGAGGCACUAGUCAUAUAUGAAAUAGAGUUUUAACUUCAGGCUUGCCAUCUCUCAGGUUAAAGUUCAUUCCUUGCUUGGGCUGACAGUUUUCUUUGCAGACCAGGAACAGUUACUGUCCCCCAUAGAGAGUGGGGGAUGAGGUUGUGAGGUCCUAGCUUUGUCUAUAGAUUGGCUCCAAAACUCUCUCGUGGAAGGUACAGACUUGGGACCAUGAAUCCAGCUUGUGAUCAGACCAAGUGAAUUACACACACACACACACACACACACACACACACACACACACAGAAGAAAUAUAGCUUCCCGCAAAGAAACAUAGAGGUUUGGAACAGACUAAGUGAGGAUGUAGUAUCGGCGAAGAGUGUGCACAACUUUAAGGAAAAACUGGACAAGUACAGAUAUGGAGACGGGACCACACGAGCGUAAGCCCAGGCCCUGUAAAAUUACAACUAGGUAAAUACAACUAGAUAAAUACACACACACACACACACACACACACACACACACACACACACACGUGUAACAAACUUAUUAAGCUUUUACUUGAGAGUGACGGACAUAACACAGGAGAGGGAUGGAUGGGUAGACUGCGUGUAUUUGGACUUGAAGAAGGCUUUCGACAAAGUCCCACAUACAAGACUAUUGUGGAAGCUGGAAAAUAGAGGAGGAUUGAAAGGGAAAAUGAAAAACUGGAUGGAAAGUUAGUUAAAGGGAAGAGAAAUGAGAACAGUGAUAAAGGACAUGAAAUUGGAAUGAAGAAAUGUAGAUAGUGGGGUGCCUCAAGGAUCGGUAUUGGCACCAAUACUUUUCCUAGUGUAUAUAAAUGAUAUGCCGGAGAAAGAAAAUAGUUACAUGAGCUUGUUUGCAAACGAUGCGAAAUUGCUGCGACACAAAAUAAAUAGUAAAGACUGUGAAAUUCUGCAAGAGGACCUAAAUAAGAUUUGGGAUUGGAGUAAGAAAUGGGAGAUGGAGGUCAAUGUAAAGUAAUGUCAUGUAAUGGAAAUGGGAAAGAGUGUAGGGAGACCAAAAUGGACAUAUAGAAUAAGAGAUGGAGAAAUAUUAAUAGUUCAAAAGGAGAGAGAUCUGGGAGUGAUAAUACAAGAUAAUCAACAGUCAGAGAGUCAUGUAAAUAGGAUAUUCAGAGAUACGUAUAGAAUGGUAAGAAAUACAGGAAUAGCGUUCCACUACAUGGAUAAAGAUAUGAUGAAAAAGAUGAUAACCACUAUGAUUAGACCAAAGUUGGAAUAUA